CCAGACUCCUACGGGAGGCAGCAGUGGGGGAUAUUGCACAAUGGGGGAAACCCUGAUGCAGCGACGCCGCGUGGGUGAAGAAGCGCCUCGGCGCGUAAAGCCCUGUCAGCAGGGAAGAAAAUGACGGUACCUGAAGAAGAAGCCCCGGCUAACUACGUGCCAGCAGCCGCGGUAAUACGUAGGGGGCAAGCGUUAUCCGGAUUUACUGGGUGUAAAGGGGGCGCAGACGGCGAUGCAAGCCAGGAGUGAAAGCCCGGGGCCCAACCCCGGGACUGCUCUUGGAACUGCGUGGCUGGAGUGCAGGAGGGGCAGGCGGAAUUCCUAGUGUAGCGGUGAAAUGCGUAGAUAUCACGAAGAACUCCGAUUGCGAAGGCAGCCUACUAAACUGCCACUGACAUUGAUGCUCGAAAGUGUGGGUAUCAAACAGGAUUAGAUACCCGAGUA
rnacentral:rRNA from 1 species